UACGAAGGGGGCUAGCGUUGCUCGGAAUGACUGGGCGUAAAGGGCGCGUAGGCGGCCUGGACAGUCGGAUGUGAAAUUCCUGGGCUCAACCUGGGGGCUGCAUCCGAGACGUUUGGGCUGGAGUGGGGAAGAGGGUCGUGGAAUUCCCAGUGUAGAGGUGAAAUUCGUAGAUAUUGGGAAGAACACCGGUGGCGAAGGCGGCGACCUGGUCCUUGACUGACGCUGAGGCGCGAAAGCGUGGGGAGCAAACAGG
rnacentral:rRNA from 2 species